rnacentral:rRNA from 1 species
AGCGAACGCUGGCGGCAGGCUUAACACAUGCAAGUCGAGCGGGCACUUCGGUGUCAGCGGCAGACGGGUGAGUAACACGUGGGAACGUACCCUUCGGUUCGGAAUAACGCUGGGAAACUAGCGCUAAUACCGGAUACGCCCUUUUGGGGAAAGGUUUACUGCCGUAGGAUCGGCCAGCGUCGGAUUAGCUAGUUGGUGGGGUAAUGGCCUACCAAGGCGACGAUCAGUAGCUGGUCUGAGAGGAUGAUUAGCCACACUGGGACUGAGACACGGCCCAGACUCCUACGGGAUGCAGCAGUGGGGAAUAUUGGACAAUGGGCGCAAGCCUGAUCCAGCCAUGCCGCGUGAGUGAUGAAGGCCUUAGGGUUGUAAAGCUCUUUUAUCCGGGACGAUAAUGACGGUACCGGAAGAAUAAGCCCCGGCUAACUUCGUG